rnacentral:rRNA from 1 species
UACGUAGGGCGCAAGCGUUAUCCGGAAUUAUUGGGCGUAAAGAGCUCGUAGGCGGCCUGUUGCGUCCGCUGUGAAAGCCCGGGGCUUAACCCCGGGUCGGCAGUGGAUACGGGCAGGCUAGAGGUAGGUAGGGAGAAUGGAAUUCCGGUGUAGCGGUGAAAUGCGCAGAUAUCGGGAGGAACACCGGUGGCGAAGGCGGUUCUCUGGGCCUUACCUGACGCUGAGACGCGAAAGCGUGGGUAGCAAACAGG